rnacentral:rRNA from 1 species
CAGUCGUACGCUUCUUUUUCCCCGGAGCUUGCUCCACCGGAAAAAGAAGAGUGGCGAACGGGUGAGUAACACGUGGGUAACCUGCCCAUCAGAAGGGGAUAACACUUGGAAACAGGUGCUAAUACCGUAUAACAAUCGAAACCGCAUGGUUUUGAUUUGAAAGGCGCUUUCGGGUGUCGCUGAUGGAUGGACCCGCGGUGCAUUAGCUAGUUGGUGAGGUAACGGCUCACCAAGGCUACGAUGCAUAGCCGACCUGAGAGGGUGAUCGGCCACAUUGGGACUGAGACACGGCCCAAACUCCUACGGGAGGCAGCAGUAGGGAAUCUUCGGCAAUGGACGAAAGUCUGACCGAGCAACGCCGCGUGAGUGAAGAAGGUUUUCGGAUCGUAAAACUCUGUUGUUAGAGAAGAACAAGGAUGAGAGUAACUGUUCAUCCCUUGACGGUAUCUAACCAGAAAGCCACGGCUAACUACGUGCCAGCAGCCGCGGUAAUACGUAGGUGGCAAGCGUUGUCCGGAUUUAUUGGGCGUAAAGCGAGCGCAGGCGGUUUCUUAAGUCUGAUGUGAAAGCCCCCGGCUCAACCGGGGAGGGUCAUUGGAAACUGGGAGACUUGAGUGCAGAAGAGGAGAGUGGAAUUCCAUGUGUAGCGGUGAAAUGCGUAGAUAUAUGGAGGAACACCAGUGGCGAAGGCGGCUCUCUGGUCUGUAACUGACGCUGAGGCUCGAAAGCGUGGGGAGCAAACAGGAUUAGAUACCCUGGUAGUCCACGCCGUAAACGAUGAGUGCUAAGUGUUGGAGGGUUUCCGCCCUUCAGUGCUGCAGCUAACGCAUUAAGCACUCCGCCUGGGGAGUACGACCGCAAGGUUGAAACUCAAAGGAAUUGACGGGGGCCCGCACAAGCGGUGGAGCAUGUGGUUUAAUUCGAAGCAACGCGAAGAACCUUACCAGGUCUUGACAUCCUUUGACCACUCUAGAGAUAGAGCUUCCCCUUCGGGGGCAAAGUGACAGGUGGUGCAUGGUUGUCGUCAGCUCGUGUCGUGAGAUGUUGGGUUAAGUCCCGCAACGAGCGCAACCCUUAUUGUUAGUUGCCAUCAUUCAGUUGGGCACUCUAGCAAGACUGCCGGUGACAAACCGGAGGAAGGUGGGGAUGACGUCAAAUCAUCAUGCCCCUUAUGACCUGGGCUACACACGUGCUACAAUGGGAAGUACAACGAGUCGCGAAGUCGCGAGGCUAAGCUAAUCUCUUAAAGCUUCUCUCAGUUCGGAUUGUAGGCUGCAACUCGCCUACAUGAAGCCGGAAUCGCUAGUAAUCGCGGAUCAGCACGCCGCGGUGAAUACGUUCCCGGGCCUUGUACACACCGCCCGUCACACCACGAGAGUUUGUAACACCCGAAGUCGGUGAGGUAACCUUUGGAGCC